rnacentral:rRNA from 1 species
AUACGUAGGGGGCAAGCGUUACUCGGAUUUACUGGGCGUAAAGCGAAUUAAGGCGGUCUUGUAAGUCAGAGGUGAAAUCCCUCAGCCUAACUGAGGAAUAGCCUUUGAUACUGCUUGACUAGAGGACAGGAGAGGAAAGUGGAAUUCCCGGUGUAGCGGUGGAAUGCGUAGAUAUCGGGAGGAACACCAGAGGCGAAGGCGGCUUUCUGGACUGGUCCUGACGCUGAUAUUCGAAAGCUAGGGGAGCAAACAGGAUUAGAUACCCUGGUAGUCCUAGCUGUAAACGAUGGAUACUAGAUCUUGCAUGGAUUUGCUUGGUCGUAGUUAACGCGUUAAGUAUCCCGCCUGGGGAGUACGGUCGCAAGGCUGAA